UACGAAGGGGGAGCGAGCGUUGUUCGGAUUUACUGGGCGUAAAGGGUGCGCAGGCGCCAAGUGUGUCAGGUGUGAAAUCCCGAGCUUAACCUCGGAACUGCGCCUGAAACUACUUGGCUAGAGUACUGGAGAGGGUAACGGAAUUCACGGUGUAGCAGUGAAAUGCGUAGAUAUCGUGAGGAACACCAGAGGCGAAGGCGGUUACCUGGACAGUUAACUGACGGCUC
rnacentral:rRNA from 1 species